rnacentral:rRNA from 1 species
CGAAAACUCCACAAUGUACGGAAGUACGAUGGGGUUAUCUCGAGUGCAGUCCGAUAAGGGCUGCUUUUCCAUAGAGUAAUAUCCUGUGGGAAUAAGAGGGGGGCAAGACUGGUGUCAGCCGCCGCGGUAACACCAGCCCCUCGAGUGGUGGGGACUAUUAUUUGGCCUAAAGCGUCCGUAGCUGGCUGUAUCCGUCCCCCGUUAAAUCCAGCGUCCUAAGCGUUGGACCGCGGGUGAUACCAUACAGCUAGAGGGUGGGAUAGGUGAGCGGUAUUUCUGGGGUAGGGGCGAAAUCCUUUGAUCCCAGGAGGACCACCAGUGGCGAAGGCUGCUCACUAGAACACGCCUGACGGUCAGGGACGAAAGCUGGGGCAGCGAACCGGAUUAGAUACCCGGGUGGUCCCAGCUGUAAACGAUGCUAGCUAGGUGUUGGGUCGGCCACGCGCCGCCCCAGUGCCGCAGGGAAGCCGUUAAGCUAGCCGCCUGGGGAGUACGGCCGCAAGGCUGAAACUUAAAGGAAUUGGCGGGGGAGCAC